rnacentral:rRNA from 1 species
CUUGACGACCAUAGAGCGUUGGAACCACCUGAUCCCAUCCCGAACUCAGUAGUGAAACGACGCAUCGCCGAUGGUAGUGUGGGGUUUCCCCAUGUGAGAGUAGGUCAUCGUCAAGCUU